rnacentral:rRNA from 2 species
AAAUUGAAGAGUUUGAUCAUGGCUCAGAUUGAACGCUGGCGGCAGGCCUAACACAUGCAAGUCGAACGGUAACAGGAAGCAGCUUGCUGCUUCGCUGACGAGUGGCGGACGGGUGAGUAAUGUCUGGGAAACUGCCUGAUGGAGGGGGAUAACUACUGGAAACGGUGGCUAAUACCGCAUAACGUCGCAAGACCAAAGAGGGGGACCUUCGGGCCUCUUGCCAUCAGAUGUGCCCAGAUGGGAUUAGCUUGUUGGUGAGGUAACGGCUCACCAAGGCGACGAUCCCUAGCUGGUCUGAGAGGAUGACCAGCCACACUGGAACUGAGACACGGUCCAGACUCCUACGGGAGGCAGCAGUGGGGAAUAUUGCACAAUGGGCGCAAGCCUGAUGCAGCCAUGCCGCGUGUAUGAAGAAGGCCUUCGGGUUGUAAAGUACUUUCAGCGGGGAGGAAGGUGUUGCGGUUAAUAACCGCAGCAAUUGACGUUACCCGCAGAAGAAGCACCGGCUAACUCCGUGCCAGCAGCCGCGGU